UACAGAGGGGGCAAGCGUUGUUCGGAAUUACUGGCGUAAAGGGCGCGUAGGCGGCCUGCUAAGUCGAACGUGAAAUCCCUGGGCUCAACCCAGAACUGCGUCCGAUACUGGUUGGCUUGAAUCCGGGAGAGGGACGUGGAAUCCAGGUGUAGCGGUGAAAUGCGUAGAUAUCUGGAGGAACACCGGUGGCGAAGGCGACGUCCUGGAC
rnacentral:rRNA from 1 species